rnacentral:rRNA from 1 species
AGGGAGUUUGAUCCUGGCUCAGGAUGAACGCUGGCGGCACGCCUAACACAUGCAAGUCGAACGAAGCGUCCCGCCCGAUGAAAUGGAGUGCUUGCACAAAGUAGAAUCAAUUGGGAUGACUUAGUGGCGGACGGGUGAGUAACGCGUGGGUAACCUGCCUUACACAGGGGGACAACAGUUGGAAACGACUGCUAAUACCGCAUAACCCGCUAGUAUCGCAUGAUACAGACGGAAAAGAUUUAUCGGUGUAAGAUGGACCCGCGUCUGAUUAGCUAGUUGGUGAGGUAACGGCUCACCAAGGCGACGAUCAGUAGCCGGCCUGAGAGGGUGAACGGCCACAUUGGGACUGAGACACGGCCCAAACUCCUACGGGAGGCAGCAGUGGGGAAUAUUGGACAAUGGGGGAAACCCUGAUCCAGCGACGCCGCGUGAGUGAAGAAGUAUUUCGGUAUGUAAAGCUCUAUCAGCAGGGAAGAAAAUGACGGUACCUGACUAAGAAGCCCCGGCUAACUACGUGCCAGCAGCCGCGGUAAUACGUAGGGGGCAAGCGUUAUCCGGAUUUACUGGGUGUAAAGGGAGCGUAGACGGCAAAGUAAGUCUGAAGUGAAAGCCCAGGGCUCAACCCUGGAACUGCUUUGGAAACUAUUUAGCUAGAGUGCAGGAGAGGUAAGUGGAAUUCCUAGUGUAGCGGUGAAAUGCGUAGAUAUUAGGAGGAACACCGGCGGCGAAGGCGGCUUACUGGACUGUAACUGACGUUGAGGCUCGAAAGCGUGGGGAGCAAACAGGAUUAGAUACCCUGGUAGUCCCCU